GACACUUUGGCCGAGUGGUUAAGGCGAUGCCCUGCUAUUCUUUACAGAUUAUCAUAGGCAUUGUGUUCGCACGCGCAGGUUCGAAUCCUGCAGGUGUCG
rnacentral:tRNA from 1 species